rnacentral:rRNA from 1 species
CAAUAGCGUAUAUUAAAGUUGUUGUGGUUAAAAGCUCGUAGUUGGAUCUCGGCGGACUGAGGGCGGUUUGCUUGCUAGUAUUACUGCCCUAUAGUCCGUAGUUUUGCCAGAGGUUUCGGGGUGCUCUUAAUCGAGUGUCCCGGGAUGCUGGCAGGUUUACUUUGAAAAAUUAGAGUGCUCAAAGCAGGCUAUUACGCCUGAAUAUUCGUGCAUGGAAUAAUAGAAUAGGAAGUCGUUUCUAUUUUGUUGGUUUUCGGAAAUCGACUUAAUGAUUAAUAGGGACAGUCGGGGGCAUUUGGUAUUCAACAGACAGAGGUGGAAAAUUCUUUGGACCCGUUUGAAGACAAACUACUGCGAAAGCAUUUGCCAAGAAUGUUUUUCAUUA